AAAAAAAAAAAACCCAACCCCCAAAAAACCCCCGAGAAAGACAAAACAGAAUAUGUCUGAAAAGCUCCAUUGUCAGGAACUUCACCAGGCUUUGGUACAUCUUUUCAUGUCCUGAACAAAAGGAGAGCUGCAGUAUUCGCUGCUGUGCCUGCUCCUGUGAAGAGCCUACAAAGCAGGACUUCUGGAGACGGACUGUGCUGACCCCACUGAGACCCCACUGACGUAUCCAUGGUAAUUUUAAAGAGAAGUGCGUAAUGCCUGGGAGCAAUUCGUAGCAGGUCGGAAACAUCCUGAUCAUUCAGUGCAUUAUGGACCUAGGCAGCUGCGUCAGCUAAGAGCGCAUCUGUCUUCAUUGCAAAGAGGGCUGAGGCAGUUUUUUAAAGCUCCUGGUUAUUAUUUCAAAAGUGUUGGAAGAGGAAAAGUGAUAUACUGCCUUCUCUAAGGCUGUAUCCUGCUGCAGGACUGCCCAGCCUUGUUGCUGAGGUGAGUGAGAAAGCAAAUCCUUGGAAAACAGCCUGGUUUCUGUGCUGGCCUGAUGCUUCCUGUAAACUGGCUUGUGAUGGGAUGCAGCAGUCGGGGGCCGGGGGCACCUGCGCAGCCGGGGCUCAGCUCCCACAUGGGUCAGGCUGCUCAUUCUGCUGAUUUUAUUCUUCAGAAACUUUCUACUACCGUUGUUGGUUUUUUUAACAAGCACAGGUAGGAUAUGAGGAUGUAGCUAUUUCUUAGCUAGGUAUAGAAAAUAGAGGGGCAAAUAGUCAUCAUGCCAAUGUAAGGCAGAUUGCGUGGGUGUUACCAGUUAAUAUCAGAGUUCAGCAGUGUGGGAUUUCAUAGGACGCAAAUGCAGAAAAAGAAAUCUUUAUUCUUAAAGAAGUCCUAAGAGCAUACUUCUUUAUACCACUCGCUUAUAGGUAUAUUACGAUGUUCAGUAUGAUAUU